GGCUCUCUUUCGCAAUAGAUUAUAUUGAUCACACACACGGGCACACUCUCGGAGCUGCUGUCUGUGAACUGCUCUCAAUUCUGUGCGCUCUGCACAACUUUUCCCAUAUCUUCUCCCACUUUUUUUCCUGAGCUGAAAGGUUUCUUCAGGGAUGCAUUUCUAUGAACAAUUCCAAAUCCCCCCAAGAGGAAGCUCCAUGUGCAAAAGCCAGUCAUCCAGAUGCACACCUGCAGGCUUUGGCCGAUUACAGAGGUCAUAAUUUCGAACAUGGAUGAGCAGCUCUUGAACAAUUUCUCCAAUGUAUUAAGCAUGAACAGGCUUUCCUUCAAUAUCAGCACAAAUUAGCAUUUAUGGCAUCUGGCCCAAGGACCAGAUGCUGUAGGACUUCAGAGGUGUUUGGAAGCAUCCAGUUAAUGGCAGCAAGCUGCUGUUAAGGGAAGAACAAGAGACAGAGGCCUGUGAGAUGGACAGUGAUU